CUGAAUUUUAUUCCUUUUUAAGGCUGAAUAAUAUUCCAUUGUAUGCACACACCACCUUUGUUUAUCCGUUCAUCCCUCGAUGGACACUCGCAUUGCUGCUCCCUUUUGGCUACCAAGAGCAGUGCAGUUUGCAAAUAUCUGUCAGGGUCCUGCUUUCUUUUGGAUAGACAGCUGAUUUUCGUCGACCCGCACAGGUGCCAGACUCUAUCCUAAGUGUUUUGCGUGCCUUGGAUUUCAUCAGAAAACCUAAUGAAGUGGGUACUGCACAGAUGAGGAAACUGAGGCACGGAUAGGUGCCAGUCCGUGAUGGAGCUGGAAGCCCCUUCAGUGAGCACUGUGUAUACGGCUUCUGCACCAGUGUUGCUUAGCAUCUGGAAUGCAGCCUGAUGUAUUUAAGUCAGACAUCGAGGAAGGACUUCCAGGCCAGAGAGUUUAGAUGCGGAAGUGAGAGGCCAUCACCAGAUCUGGAACCCUUCCUACGGCCCCUUGUUUCCUGGGGAUGCCCCAUUCACUGACUGCACUGGACAGAGCCAUUGUAUACCCUGUUGACAGAUGAGGAAACUGAGUCUCAGAGAAAUAAGUGGACACAAAAGUUGAGACCUUCAGGCUGGAGUCCAGGCUGCAGUUCCCGAGAGGGAAGUGGCUGCUUCGGGUCAUUUGCAGCUGCACGAGGCUUUGGCUGGAGUCUGCUUCCCCAGGACCAUGGGAUGGCCAGGACAGCUGACCAGGAGCCACCCCCUCAUAGGGCAUCCCCUCCUGCAAAGGAGGGGGGCCCUGAACACACUCACCAGACCUCCGUGGCAAACUGUUUACAGUAGUCCCCUGUAAGAGAAAUAAAGUGGAGGUCUUCAUAGAGAUCUUCUUCACCUAUUGCCUGCAGUGACUAAUUAUUAACAUCCUUUUAGGUGACUGGUAUACGAGGAGCAGAGUCCUUGGGGCCGGCCCGCCCUAGGGGGAUGGUACUAGGUGCCACCAGGAAUGUCAUGCUUGGCAUGAAGGGAAGAAUGGCUGGAGUUCUCGAGUUGAGCUGUGUCCAGAUAAGCUAAGCACAUGUAUCAAUUAUUUUGGUCAACAGGUUAUGCUUUUAGGUGCUUCGCUGGUUCCUGGAGGAUAAACUUUCACUAAGUCACACAAGUGCAUUUGGAAUGUUGCCACUUUUGUUACCACUUGCUUUAAAAAUCACCAAAGGUGAAGAACUUUAGAGUCUCACCCAUGGGGUGGAUGCUGUACCCGGGACCUUCCCAGUCGGAUCCAAACAGCUGUUCCAAGACUCCCCAGCUGAUAGGUUCAUUCCGAGAGUGUUUCCUACUCGGCUUGGUGAUGUAGCUUUAUACUCUUAUCCUUUCAUUCUACAUGCUUAAUUUUGUUGUCUUAUUCUGUCAUUUGUUAGUAAAUUUUUCCUUAUUCUGAUAUAA